AGAGUUUGAUCCUGGCUCAGAGUGAACGCUGGCGGCGUGCUUAACACAUGCAAGUCGAACGAGAACGGAACUAGCUUGCUAGUUUGUCAGCUAAGUGGCGCACGGGUGAGUAAUAUAUAGUUAAUCUGCCCCAAAGAAGAGAAUAAUUGUUGGAAACGACUUGUAAUGCUCUAUAUGCCUUUAUCACAUAAGUGAGCAAGGGAAAUAUUUAUAGCUUUGGGAUGAGACUGUACGGUAUCAGUUAGUUGGUGAGGUAAUGGCUCACCAAGACUAUGACGCCUAACUGGUUUGAGAGGAUGAUCAGUCACACUGGAACUGAGACACGGUCCAGACUCCUACGGGAGGCAGCAGUGGGGAAUAUUGCACAAUGGACGAAAGUCUGAUGCAGCAACGCCGCGUGGAGGAUGACACAUUUCGGUGCGUAAACUCCUUUUAUAUGAGAAGAUAAUGACGGUAUCAUAUGAAUAAGCACCGGCUAACUUCGUGCCAGCAGCCGCGGUAAUACGAGGGGUGCAAGCGUUACUCGGAAUCACUGGGCGUAAAGAGCAUGUAGGCUGGUAGUUAAGUUGGAAGUGAAAUCCUAUGGCUCAACCAUAGAACUGCUUCCAAAACUGAUUACCUAGAGUAUGGGAGAGGUAGAUGGAAUUUCUGGUGUAGGGGUAAAAUCCGUAGAGAUC
rnacentral:rRNA from 1 species